rnacentral:rRNA from 1 species
CGCUUUGGGACUACAACCCUGAAUAUACCCAAUCAUGUCUGAUUUUGAAGGUAAAUCAGGGUCAGGCUUAGAUUAGUACUUGAGUGG